GGAGAGGUUAUUUACCUAAUGUCACACAGCUGGCAUUUACUUUGCCAUGUCUCCCACCUGUAGCACACACAGUCUCCAGGGCACAGAGCUGUAUGGUGCAGGGCUGAGGGCUGUGCAAAGUUACAGAAUAAAUGCUGAACCUAUACCUGGGGCAUCCUUUUCACUUACUGGCAGAAACACUGAUGGCAACAGAUGAAGGCACGUAGAAAGUGAAGAGGAAGAUGGGAGAAAGAAGCCUUUAAAAAUACAGACAUUCAAAGAAGUACUGAGGCCUGGGAGCACUGGGGCUGUGACCAUAAGCCUCCACGCAUCUGAAGGAAGGACAUGACUUGACUUCAGGAUGUUCCUCAACACAGUACUCAGGCAGAUGCUAUUGAUGGACCAGAGCUGGCAAGAGAAAAGAGCCUUUGUUUGACCUCCCUGAUCUGGAGCCCAGACAUUAGAUGAAGGAUGCUGAUGGAGUGCCUGCUUUACAUAUGCCUUGCCUCACACUGACUGUAAUGAGAAAUCUGACUAUGCCUCGCCAAAUGUCUUCUGUGGCUUCCCAUCCCUACAAUCCACACACCUCCAUUGUCUGUACCAGCCAGACUUUGACGUUCCUCUUUGCCACAGUCACAAAGUGGCCCUACCGUCCAGCCCCGAAUGAUGUUCCCGUCCAUCAUCCACCAUCUCCCUGCCUUUGCACACCUGCUUCUUUGGCCUGGGGCAACUUCCUCCUCUCUUACCUAGAGCAGUGGUUCUCAAACUUCAGCAGACCUCAAGGACAGGUUAAAACACAGAUGGUCAGGCUCCCAUAGCCAGUUUCUGUUUUUUUCUGACUGGGAUGGGCCCUUAAGAUAGACAUGUCUCGUGAUUUCCUAGGGAAUGCUGGUGCUUCUAGACUAGAGACUACACUUGGGAAACUAUGCAGGCCAAUCAAGCUCAACUAAAGCUUCGCUUCUUCUAGGAAGCCCACCCUGACUGGCCUCCUCCCCAGCUGUUAGGUUCCCGCCUUGGACCCCCACAUCCCCCUGUUACUUACUCUGUCCUUUCAUAAUGAAGGGUUAUGAAGAAACCUG